rnacentral:misc_RNA from 1 species
AGCACAUCAAACUUUGAUUGGCUUUGGCUUUUGCCUCUCCUUCACUCUUACAAAAAGCCAUGGUAGGCAUAUGCAUAAUACAUCACAGAAGACUUAACCCCUGUAUAUUUUUUGCUACACAAGUCCAAAACUAAGAGGGGUUUCUUUUCUUUUCUUUUUAGGAUUAUUUUUUAAACAAGUAGAGUAGUUGCUGCUGCUUCCCCCCCCUCCUAUUAACCUAUUUUUUGACUGCUGUUCUCUUCUUCUACUUAUGGAACUAACUGU